UACAGAGGUCUCAAGCGUUGUUCGGAUUCAUUGGGCGUAAAGGGUGCGUAGGCGGCGCGGUAAGUCGGGUGUGAAAUCUUGGAGCUUAACUCCGAAACUGCAUUCGAUACUGCCGUGCUUGAGGACUGGAGAGGAGACUGGAAUUUACGGUGUAGCGGUGAAAUGCGUAGAUAUCGUAAGGAAGACCAGUGGCGAAGGCGGGGUCUCUGGACAGUUCCCUGAGCGCUGAGGCACGAAGGUCAGGGGAGCAAACGGGG
rnacentral:rRNA from 1 species